AGCUUUCUACUGCUUACCUCAGCUGAAUUCUUUACAGCAACUAUAUAGAAAGGGAAGAUAUAGGAAACUAACCCCAUUCACACCUCAGUCCAGGCCUUUUGCCUGCUGUGUAGAGUGAAUGAGGAGACAUUA